AGAGUGUGUGAGAGUGAUAUUCUCAAUUCCCGAAGUGUACGUGCUAAGAAUUUUAAGGCACCUUUGAGAGAAAACAAUGAAGAAAUGCGGCGUCCAUUUGUCACCGACACCAAUGAGUAUCUCCUGAAUUUGACGGAUGUCACUGGCAGGCCUUUGUGGUGCAUGCCUCGAAAACGUCAAUUAUGGGUUUUUUUGAAUUACUUGCUAUCAAAUAAAUGUAGUCAAGAUCAUCUGGAAAUUUUCUUCUGCUCAGUGCGAUCGAGAAACGGGUGGAACAAUAACCCUACUCCUCUACAAUUUUGUAAAACUUUUAAAAGAUUGCUUCUAUUUCUAAACAUAACGGGAGAAGGAGGAAAUUGUAAAGUGCUUUGCACCACCUGUAUGCUCUCUGUUAGCAGUGGCCCAAAGCAAAAGAGCACAGAUGUUCAACAAUCGGUUGACGUGUUUGUCUUGAAAAAAUAUGGUCUCGAUAUUUUGACUGAAGCACUUGCAGAUCAUGACUACGGCUGUCUGCCUAAUAUAUUGGUGGCUAUGUUGUCAAAAUGGUGCUGAAGACGUUUAAAUGCACAGACUGCAUUUCUUCUUGCAUUAAAACACGAGGAAACGACUUACAGAUUAUUGGGCAAAAAAACAUGGGUGGGCUUAUUAAACCUUCUGCUAGGAUUGUAAAGAUUUGUUGUUACUGUAAGUUGCAAAUACGAAAAAUUUUUCAAGCGAUAAAAGCAUUCUUUUUCCUCAUUUAGAGGACCACGCACUCGAGACGGCGGUCAUCGAUGAAGGCCAUUUAUAUAUUCUAAUUAAACAAAUAAUUAAUGCCUACAUGCAACACGCAAUUUUAUUAAGGAUUUUGUGUCUGCGCAAGUCGAAGCGCAUUCUCCCUCUCCAUAUCUCUGUAUUUCCCCCACGAACCUGUGCAGCUGCUGCCAUUCUUCAGAGCAUCUCAUGAAAUAUAUUGUUUAUUUAU